rnacentral:rRNA from 1 species
GUACGGAAGGCAGCAGUCGAGAAUUUUUCACAAUGGGCGCAAGCCUGAUGGAGCGACGCCGCGUGGGGGAUGAAUGGCUUCGGCCCGUAAACCCCUGUCAUUUGCGAUCAACCGUUAUUGUUUAAGAGAUGAUAACCUGAUAGUAGCGAAAGAGGAAGGGACGGCUAACUCUGUGCCAGCAGCCGCGGUAAUACAGAGGUCCCAAGCGUUGUUCGGAUUCACUGGGCGUAAAGGGUGCGUAGGUGGCGGGGUAAGUCGGAUGUGAAAUCUCCGAGCUCAACUCGGAAAUGGCAUUGGAAACUGCUCUGCUCGAGGGUUGGAGGGGGGACUGGAAUACUUGGUGUAGCAGUGAAAUGCGUAGAUAUCAAGUGGAACACCAGUGGCGAAGGCGAGUCCCUGGACAACUCCUGACACUGAGGCACGAAAGCUAGGGGAGCAAACAGGAUUAGAUACCCCGGUAGC